GCUGGAACUACAGGCGUGUACCACCACUCCCGCAGCCCAACUGGAGCAGCCACUAUAUUCCUGCAGCUCCUGCAAUACUAGAAUGGCUCAAAUAUGAAAUUUCUUCCUCCAGUCUCUUGAACAAUGACUGCUCGUGGUGAAGGAAAGGCUUCUCACCUUGGUUAUCACCUCUUGCAGAAUCUUUAUGACGUGUAUCUUGCGCUGACCUCUAUCUCAUCCUGUGACUAAGAAUGCCCUAAUCUCCUGGGAAUGCAGCCCAGAAGGUCUCAGCCUCAUUUUACCCAGCCCCUAUUCAAGAUGGAGUUGCCCUGGUUCACAAACCUCCAACAAAAAGGCAAGUGGGAUUAUUCUCAUUUUACAGAUGGGGAAGGAAAAAAGAGAAGUGCAUGAAGACACUUUACAACUUCUACUCUCUACUGGGUUGUGCUUCUCUCAAAGUUUCCUAGCAAGUUGGAGUAGUGAGCUCUCCAGCUGUGCUUCUGCUCCUUCACAUUUGGGAUUCUUUUUCCUUCCAGAUCUGUAUACUCUGUCUUAUGCAUGCCCCAUUCCAUUAGUUAGCCAUUUCUUUUUCAAAAAUUUUUAAAUUUGAUUUUUUUUGG